AAGCUUGCAAUGAUGACAUUAUCUUUCCCCGUCCUAUCGACAUAUGACGAUGUGAAAUGUGUUUUUAAGCCAAUAUUGUCUGAUGCAAGCAU